GACGAACGCUGGCGGCGUGCUUAACACAUGCAAGUCGAACGGUAAGGCCCUUCGGGGUACACGAGUGGCGAACGGGUGAGUAACACGUGGGUGAUCUGCCCUGCACUUCGGGAUAAGCCUGGGAAACUGGGUCUAAUACCGGAUAGGACUCCUGGCUUACUGGUUGGGGGUGGAAAGCUUUUGCGGUGUGGGAUGGGCCCGCGGCCUAUCAGCUUGUUGGUGGGGUAAUGGCCUACCAAGGCGACGACGGGUAGCCGGCCUGAGAGGGUGACCGGUCACACUGGGACUGAGAUACGGCCCAGACUCCUACGGGAGGCAGCAGUGGGGAAUAUUGCACAAUGGGCGCAAGCCUGAUGCAGCGACGCCGCGUGAGGGAUGACGGCCUUCGGGUUGUAAACCUCUUUCAGCUAUGACGAAGCGCAAGUGACGGUAGUAGCAGAAGAAGGACCGGCCAACUACGUGCCAGCCGCCGCGGUAA
rnacentral:rRNA from 1 species